GUGAGGUAGGAUUGCCCGACCUCAUGUUGUGCUGAGCCCGGUUUAGGUUUCUAUGUGAUCCCACACGAUAUUCAGCUUUCAGAAGGCAGCUGUGGGCUAAGAUCUAACCCCAAAUUCAGGCUGAGGACCCCGGACAAGCACUUUGCAGCUCCCUGUGCAGGUGCUGUGCUCCCUGACAGACAGGAGGAGAUGAUUUAGGCUCUGGCAGCGGGGUUGGACUGGAUGAUCUUUCAAGGUCCCUUCCAACCCCUAAUAUUCUGUGAUUAUGUGAGAUCCAAACCUCAGAAAAUCAAGGCAGAGGGUUCUACUUUCACCACACUAACUCAAUGCAAGAGCAAAAAUGGGGCGGCACCAUUUAGUUGGGCAACGUGGACUUUGGGGGAAGUGGAAAACAUCGGGGUUUUUUUUAUAUUUUCAUUCCAAACCAGAAACUUCUUGUCCUCUCCUUCCCCCUGGAAAUCCAGGAACCUGAAAGCUCAGCAGCUGCUCCUAGAGCUGAAAACCCAUGCAACCUGUGUCUGCUCUUACAGCACGGGUUAUCCUGGAGCAUCCCUGCCUCCUCUACAUCCUGUAAGGGAGGCUGUGCCACAGCUUGCGACUCAAGGACGGGGAAAAGCCUCUUUAAUCCUGAGGAAAUCAUGGGAGAUCAAUGCCAACAGCGAGUUUCUGAGACUUUUUUGGCACACAGCGCUCUGUGUCCUGUCAGACACGUACCUGAUUACAUUACCUUGUGGAUUUAUUUCUCCCGUCACGCCAAUAGAGAUGAUGAAGGUGCAAUACCCAGCAUCAGCAUCAGGGCAGCCCCCUCCAGGUUGCAGGAUCUCUGCUCUCCUCCAGCCAGGCUGCACCACGGCUGUCACCCAGCACGCUGAAAUGAGUAAGGUAUAGGUGUCUUUAUUCAGCACAGCAUCCGUUUAGUCUGCAGAUGAUCUAAGACAUUCAUCAAGUUAGCGAAACUCGUCUUCUCCUGUGCUGCCAGGCUGAAUUACGCAGCGGGAGAACUUGGGCAGAAUCCUAAAGAGUUUGCGUGUUUCUGGCCCACUUCACUCUGGCUGUGGAUUCAGCCACCCUGAUGGGAUCCCCAGAGCCCUGUCCAGCUCCUGGCUGGAGGAUGGUAAUUUUCACGGGGAGGAGAGAGGAUAUAAAUUAGGAAGAAGAAAAAAAAUGGGAUUGGAUCCUUGGGGUUUUUGCAGGGGAGCGAGCGAGCAUUAUUCCGAUCCUCCUGCUCGCGGUGAGACCCAACGGUAAGUAGAGGAAUAACCAACACGUCGUGGCACUGCUGUCCAGUUCAUUAGCUGUUAGGGUUCCUCCCUGCACCUCAAAAUAAAUGUAGGAGCCAAACUCGGCGUGGUGACCUC
rnacentral:lncRNA from 1 species